rnacentral:rRNA from 1 species
GACGAACGCUGGCGGCACGCUUAACACAUGCAAGUCGGACGCGGUUAUGUAGUUUACUAUAUGACUGAGUGGCGGACGGGUGAGGAACGCGUGGGCACCUGCCUUAUAGUUUAGGAUAACUGCUGGAAACGGCAGCUAAUACUGGAUACGCUCGCAAGAGGAAAGAUUUAUCGCUAUAAGAUGGGCCCGCGUCAGAUUAGGUAGUUGGUAGGGUAAAGGCCUACCAAGCCGAUGAUCUGUAACUGGUCUGAGAGGAUGGCCAGUCACACUGGGACUG